GGAGUGAGAGUCCCUCUUACCAGCCCUCAACUAGGGAGAGCGUAAAAGUUUGUCUCAAGCGUUCCGAGCGCCCCAAGGUGGCCAUGGAAUGGUGUAGCAGAUUGCUGCAGAUGGUUUCAAUAGUUCUGCUGAAUGCUCCUUGUUUGUGCCUGCAAGAGGAACUCAAGGCUUUAUGUAUGGCCAUUGCUGUGACCUAGUGUGAUGCUCUACUUUUCCACUGAACUCUGCUUGCUCUAACUGAGGACCUUAGCUAUAAUUUAGCCUUUUCUUUUUAUAUUAAGCUGUUGUUGAGGAAGGAGCUUUGGCAAUAGAAGAAACCAAGCAGCAGGUUAAUUUCCACUGUUGACACAACUGGAAACGGAUCCCUACUUUAUGCAUUGGAGAUGCUAUGAAGACUACUCUGUCUGAUGUUUCCCUAUUGGGAUAGUGAAGUAUGAUGCUUCAUUGGUUGAGUGUAUGCAAUCAAAGUAAGAGUGAAAAAGGAAGAUCUGAGGAGUGGGCAGAUGCCUGCCGGGUAAACUAUUUGUGGCAUAAACUUGAGGACCCCACAGGAAAGCCAGAUGUUGUCAUGUGCUUCAAACCACAAUUCUGCUAUUGAAUGGGGGAUUACUGGUCAGUGACUAGCCAAAAUGGUGAGCUUCAUGUGCUGAGAGAACUACCUAUCUCAAAAAAAUAAGGUGAAAGGGCUAGAGAGGUGGCAAAGUAGCACUGACUGAUCUCUCAGAGGAGAACGUGGAUUCAACUCCUAGCACCCACAUAGCAGCCAACAACCAUCUGUAACUCCAGUCUCAGGGGAUUUAGUGCCUUCUUAUAUCCUCAGUGAACACUGCACAUAUAUUGUGCAUAGACAUACAUUCAGUCAAACAAACACUCAGACACAUAAAAAUAAAUGAAAUCUCAAAAUAUUUUAAAAAGAUAAUGUGGAGGGUGAUUGAGGCCUUAUAUUAAUCUUUAGACUUUACAAAAUGAGUUUUACACACACACACACACACAGAAAACACACAAACACACUAUAUGUACACACACAUAUAUACACUGACACACACACUUGAAAAAUUGUUAUUGCUUAAAAUUUUUUUGAUAACUUGUCUCAGAAUUUUUAUUAUUGAUUUUAUUAUAAUAUUAAUUUUUAGUCUACAGUAAAUCUUUAUGCUGGAACUAGACUUCAGGAUUAUUAUAAGAUAUAUUUAAUGUAUAAAUUUGAGUUCAUAAUUGUGAGAAUAAUUCUUUUAUGGUUGUGGUAAUAAAGUAUCAUUAUCUUCUUA
rnacentral:lncRNA from 1 species